CCUACGGGUGGCAGCAGUGAGGAAUAUUGGUCAAUGGCCGGAAGGCUGAACCAGCCAAGCAGCGUGAAGGACGAAGGUGCCAAGCAUUGUAAACUUCUUUUGUCAAGGGACAAAAUCAGGCUCGAGAGCCUGACCGAGGGUACUUGAAGAAAAAGCAUCGGCUAACUCCGGGCAAGCUGCCGCGGUAAUACGGAGGUUGCGAGCGUUAUCCGGAUGUAUGGGGUGUGAAGGGUGCGUAGGCGGGCUGUUAAGACAGCGGUAAAAUGUGCGGGCUCAACCCGGGCCGGACGUUGAAACUGGGGGUCUUGAGUGGGCGAGAGGUAUGCGGAAUGCGUGGUGUAGCGGUGAAAUGCAUAGAUAUCACGCAGAACUCCGAUUGCGAAGGCAG
rnacentral:rRNA from 1 species